rnacentral:rRNA from 1 species
GUACCGUGAGGGAAAGGCGAAAAGAACCCCGGCGAGGGGAGUGAAAAAGAACCUGAAACCGUGUACGUACAAGCAGUGGGAGCCCCACCACUAAGCCAGUGGUGAACUCCACAUACGCAUCCUUUGCUGAGGAUACGGUUAACGGAGCGCAAGCGACGUUCAACCGCAAAAGAAGCAGAGGGGGCUUAGUGGUGGGGUGACUGCGUACCUUUUGUAUAAUGGGUCAGCGACUUAUAUUCUGUAGCAAGGUUAACCGUAUAGGGGAGCCGGAGGGAAACCGAGUCUUAAUUGGGCGUUAAGUUGCAGGGUAUAGACCCGAAACCCGGUGAUCUAGCCAUGGGCAGGUUGAAGGU